UACUAGCGGUCCAAGUCGCAGCCAUUUUUAUUGGGUCUAAAACAUCCGUAGCUUGCUUGAUAAGUUUCUCGUGAAAUCUUAAUUCUUAAAAUUAAGGAGUGCGAGAAGUACUAUUGAGCUAGAGACUGGAAGACGUAAGAAGUAUGUUUGAAGUAGCGGUAAAAUGUGUUAAUCUCAAAUAGACUCACAAUAGCGAAGGCAUCUUACGAGGACAGUUCUGACAGUAAGGGAUGAAGGCUAGGGGCGCAAAACGGAUUAGAUACCCGAGUA
rnacentral:rRNA from 1 species